rnacentral:rRNA from 1 species
CAGUAGCCGCGGGAAUACAGAGGGUGCGAGCGUUAAUCGGAUUUACUGGGCGUAAAGCGUGCGUAGGCGGCUUUUUAAGUCGGAUGUGAAAUCCCUGAGCUUAACUUAGGAAUCGCAUUCGAUACUGGGAAGCUAGAGUAUGGGAGAGGAUGGUAGAAUUCCAGGUGUAGCGGUGAAAUGCGUAGAGAUCUGGAGGAAUACCGAUGGCGAAGGCAGCCAUCUGGCCUAAUACUGACGCUGAGGUACGAAAGCAUGGGGAGCAAACAGGAUUAGAUACCCGUGUAGUCCCUGUCUCUUAUAC